GUAAGUAUAGUUUAACUAAAACAUUAGAUUGUGAGUCUAAAAAUAGGAAAUUACAUCUCCUUAUUUACC
rnacentral:tRNA from 1 species